AUUAUCCUACCUCCGUCCAACAAAAGAUGUGUCUUAAGUUUGUCAAAAUUUGGAUGUAUCUAGACAUCACUUAGUGUAUAGAUGCAUUCAAAUUUAGUCAAAGUUGAGACAUGUUUUGUUGCACGGAGGAAGUAUAUG
rfam:Brachypodium distachyon strain Bd21 chromosome 2, whole genome shotgun sequence.